rnacentral:lncRNA from 1 species
CAACCGACCAUUGAGCAAAAAAAAAAGCCGAAGUCCACCAAUGGAUCUUCAACACAGUCAGAAAAUUCAACAGCCAGAGGCUUGCUUCAGCUGGCCCCUUAACAAAAAUGUGUACUAGUUAAGUGAAAAUGGACAUCAUAAUAGAUACUCUAACAUAUAAAUGAAGUAAAAUUUAAAAAAAAACAUACAUGACUAACAAAGGCCAGAGGCUCUUGACUUGGGACAGGUGCAAAAAUGAGGCAGGGUUAAACAAGUUUGUGAUAUCUCAUCCCUACCCCUAUACCGUUUAAACAAACAAAGUAAUAUGCACAGAUCAAACUCAGUUUAAAAGAUGUCGAAGUCCGAUGCCAGAAUAGGUAUAACAAAAGAAACUAAACAAAAUGACAAUGAUACAUAAAUUAACAAAGGUCUACUAGCAAUUACGGACAUGCCAGUUCGGCUCCAGCCCUCAAUUAAUCUGAUUGAAAAUAUAUGUCUUCAUUAUAUGAAAAUGAAGCACAAUCCUUCCAAUUAUGGGUUUAGUAUCAUACCAUCAUAAAAUAUAUGAAAAGAACAUAACCCAUAUCAUGCCAACA